CAGUAGCCGCGGUAAUACAGAGGGUGCGAGCGUUAAUCGGAUUUACUGGGCGUAAAGCGUGCGUAGGCGGCUUUUUAAGUCGGAUGUGAAAUCCCUAAGCUUAACUUAGGAAUUGCAUUCGAUACUGGGAAGCUAGAGUAUGGGAGAGGAUGGUAGAAUUCCAGGUGUAGCGGUGAAAUGCGUAGAGAUCUGGAGGAAUACCGAUGGCGAAGGCAGCCAUCUGGCCUAAUACUGACGCUGAGGUACGAAAGCAUGGGGAGCAAACAGGAUUAGAUACCCCUGUAGUCCCUGUCUCUUAUAC
rnacentral:rRNA from 1 species